CGCGAACGCUGGCGGCAUGCUUAACACAUGCAAGUCGCACGGGAGGGGGCAACCCCUCCAGUGGCGGACGGGUGGAGUAACGACGUAGGUAUCUGUCCAUGGGUGGGGGAGUAACAGCGGGAAACUGCUGCUAAUACCGCAUGACACCUGAGGGUCAAAGGCGCAAGUCGCCUGUGGAGGAGCCUGCGUCCGAUUAGCUUGUUGGUGGGGUAAUGGCCUACCAAGGCACGAUCGGUAGCUGGUCUGAGAGGAUGAUCAGCCACACUGGGACUGAGACACGGCCCA
rnacentral:rRNA from 1 species